rnacentral:rRNA from 1 species
UACGGGGGGGGCAAGCGUUACUCGGAAUUAUUGGGCGUAAAGGGCGCGUAGGCGGUCGUGUGCGUCAGAGGUGAAAUCCCCCGGCUUAACUGGGGACGUGCCUCUGAUACGGCAUGGCUCGAGUCCGGGAGAGGGGAGCAGAAUUCCCAGUGUAGCGGUGAAAUGCGUAGAUAUUGGGAGGAAUACCGGUGGCGAAGGCGGCUCCCUGGACCGGUACUGACGCUGAGGCGCGAAAGCGUGGGUAGCAAACAGG